GGAUGUAAUCGCCUUAUUAUUAACUCGGAUAACCUGGAGGUGAUUGAAACUAUGCAGGAUGGAGGACAGCCGGCGGGUGCAGCGGCGGCAAUUUUCGAAGAUUUCUUUCAUUGCGCCUAUGAUUUCAUUACUACUAGAUUCGAACAUUGUAAUAGAGAAGCAAAUAAAGUAGCUCACGGGCUUGCUAGAUUAGCUAGAUUUUCUUUGACUUCUGAUUGGUUUGAGGAACCCUUAGAUGAAAUUGUAAUGAUCCUCACAAUGAUGUACUUGUUAUCUAUAGAAUAA
rnacentral:rRNA from 1 species